ensembl:lncRNA
UACCUGUUAGACAAUUUGUUUUUCUGUUUUAAUUAAGUUGGUAAGAAUUGUUUUCAAUGUAAAAACUGUUUGUUUCACUAAAUAGUAUGUUUAAAACUUUCUGCCCUGAAUGAGUAGUAAGUCUUUUGUUGUCUGAUAAUGAGAACAAAACAAAUUGGUUGAUAUCUUGGGAACAAGAUUUGAUAUUUUAGUGAAAUCACCUCCUUUAUUUAGGGAUGGAGACACAAAGAUACAUUGAUUUGGCCCCAUGCCUUGUUCAGAUAGAUUUGUAUAUAAUCAAGUAGAUUGUGAUAAAUAUAUGCUAGUGGUAGAUACAGUGUUCUAGUAACUUAGAAAAGAGAGAAUUCUGCGUGGAGAAGUUGGGGAAAGUCAGGCCGAGUGAACAGUGUUAACAAGUACAGUGUGAUUUCUUAUGGAUGAUAGGGGAUUAUGUGAGAGAUGGAGUGGAAAGUUUUUGGAGGAGGGUUUGUUAAAUUGCAGAAAGUUCAGAAUUUAAUCUUUGUCAGUGAUUCCUAACCUUUUUGGGAUCAUAGGUCGUCUUAGAAAAAUGCACGUUAAAUUCAUUCAAGUCCGGAGUGUUCAAACACUUCCUGAGGAUCUCUUUGAGCUAAGGCCUGAGCCUUGGAAAACAGCCACACUCAGGAACUGGUGGAGGAAGAGGAGCCAUCAAGGAAGCGGCCAUAGAAACCAUAGAAAGUGUCAAGAUGGUGACGAACGUCAAAUGCAGUAGAACGGUUAAGUUGGAUGAAAAGAAAAAGCUAUUGAUUUUGGCAAUAAAGAUGUCUCUACUGAUCUUUGUAAGCAGUUAAUGAGAUUAUUUGGGUAAAAGAUAGGUCCAGAGCACAGGAGAAGAGGCCGUGGAGACAGCAAGCGUAGACGAUUAAGUUUGGUGAAGAGAGGAAAGAUGGGCAGAUGCGCGACUGAGUCAUCAUGAGGAAAUUGUUGGAAAAGUUUCUCUGAUUAUAAAAGGACAAGCUGUUUAGAUGAUCGGACAAGGACUGGACAUCUGGUCAAAUUUGAGCCAAUUAGAUGAUUUCUCCCAAGAAUUUGGAACUGGAAAGUGAUGUCUUCGGAGGUUGCAUUUGGAACAUGCAUGUGAAGCAGAAAAUAAAGCAAUGGUGAGAGAGUGUACAACCUCAGAAGAAAAAGAUGAGAACAGCUGCCUUGAUUGUUGAUAAUUUUGCAGUUUUUGUUCCAAUGUUUUGUGCUUGUCUGCAUUUCCUGCUCCUGGGUUCCAUAAGAUGCCCUUAAAACCUUACAGAGAGACCCCCCACUUCCACCUUUAGUUUUUUAAAUUUUGAGGCUCUUCCUUGCUACCAAAUAAUGCCAAAUAAAACCAGCUGAGGUACAAUUACUUUUUGCAUAAAAUACAGUGGCUUGACAUAGUUGAUGACUUGGUUCUGUAGAAAAUAUAAAGUCACGGUUGGUGCCAGAUGAGUCAGGUUUAGAUGAGGGAGAACUUAGAAUGGAGCCUGAAUGAGUCAGAAAGGGUGAGCCUUGAAGUAAAAUGUGCCCAAGAGAACGGAUUAAAAGGCCUAGAAGUUCAUCUGCAGUUUGAGGACACCGUUAUCAAAGGACUGGGUCUAUGUGUCUGUGUUUGGUCUUAAGGAAUAUUGACUUUCUGCCAACAUAAUAGUGUUUAUAGCUUUGUAGUUAAUAUCACACUACACAGUGUUCCCUUUAUAUUUUCAUCAUGUAUUGGGACUUGGAUUCAAGUCCUAUCUUUUAAUUGUGUUAACCCAAUUACUUAGUCUUACUCACACUCUGACGCUUUAAAAAUUCUUAGUUAAUUCCAUCUUUCCCAUUUUUAUCCUUGGUAACUUUCUGUGGCUUUUUCAUCUUGAAUCAUUGAAUGAAGAUUAAACCUUUCAGAGUAACGUGUAGUGCAUAGAUUUUGGACUUAGGACACAAACUCGCCUGUGUCCAUCUCUACUGCUUACCAGCUGUAUGACCUUGGACUCUACCUUUCCACUCUGCACUUCAGUUUUCUAAUCUGUAAAACAGGGAUAAUAGCAUCAUCUUCCUAAGGGUGAUGGAGGAGAUUAAAUAAGUUAGUGCAUGUAAACCACUUCCCACUGUACCUGGCACAUGGUUAAGUAUUAGUUAAUGCAAGCCUUGGAGAAAUCAAUACUCUUCCCAUACUUGGAGAUAAUUAUCCCCAUCUUGUGUUAAUGUGUUCAUUCACUUUGAUCCACCUACUUGUCUGUCAGCUAACAUUUCUUCAUAAAAUUGGUAGUAUUUGUAUUGUGCCUUUUUAUUAUGAAACAUUUUCAAACAUACAGAAAAAAUAUAUAGGAAAUAUAACAAAUACCUGUGUGUCCACCAUCCAGGUUUUUCAGUCUUAUCAUUCUAAACGUAUUUGCUUGUUUCUUUUGAAAAGAAAAGAUUACAGCUGUUGUUAAAAUCUGUAUAGCCCUGUCUCAUUCCAUUUCUCUCCUUUUACCCACAGAGGUAAAUGCUGCUCUGAAUUUGACGUUUAUCAGAAUGAUACCAUGAAUGGUUUUAUAUUUUAUAACUUUUUAUAAGUGUGCAUGUAUAGGAUUGUUUUCAUGUUUUUGAAACUCAGUAUAAAUGGUAUCAUACUGUGCCUAACCUUCUGGGACUUGUGUUUUCACUCAUGUUUUUGAGAUGUAUCCAUGUUAACACCUUUCUCUAUAUUCAUUUUAAAUGCUGUAGUUCAUUGAAUGGGUAUAUCACAACUUACCCAUUUUCUUGUUGAUGCACAUUUCAGUUAUUUCCAGUUUUUGGCUAUUAUAAACAAUGCUGAAAUGCAAUACUUGACAUGUUUUUUGUGCAUGUAUGUGAGUGUUUCUCUGAGGUAUGUAUCUGGAACUUCAAUCACUGGCCAAUAGGAUAUUCUUAUCUUCAAAUAUACCAGAUAUUGCCAAUUGAUCUCUGCAGUGUACGUACUAAAUUACACCCCUACUAGCUGUGUAUAGGAGUUCGCAUUUUCCCACACCCUCCCUAGCCCUUGGCCUGGGCAGUUAUUUUUUUCCAAUGAAAACAAUUUUAUUUUGGGAUUUAACAAAAUUAUUUAAAAUUCAUCUGAAAGAAAAGCAAGUGUAACUAAAAUGUAGGAAACUAAAAACUAAGCCGUAUAUACAUGUGAAGAAAUUGAUACCGGUAGGCAUAACCAAACAUUCAUUCACUGUAGCAGAAUCAGUGCAUGUUUUUCUUAACUUUUAGCUCUCGUUCGACCUCUGCCCUGGCAUGGGACUCACACAGCCUCUCGCUGUAGGGGUCUCUUCACACAAUAGGCAACCCUCUUGGAUUGAAUGUUGUAAAGAGGGCUCAGGCCCAGCUCACUGCCUUCCAUGGUGUUCACUUCAUCGAGGAGCUGGGCUGGGAGUAAAGGCUGCUGCACUGUGGACUCUUGUGUCUGCUCUAUUCUCUCCAGUUCUUCCGCCUCCACCCCCACCCCAACUGCAAUUCAAGUAGACAUUGAUCAGCCCAUCAGCUGCAUAAGCUGACUUCAAACUGGGGAAACCCUUUCUUGCAGAGAUCCUCAGGGUUGCCACUUAUGUGUUUUAUAUAUAUGUAAAUAUAUUUUAAAAUAUAUACACAUGAUGCAUGUGAAAUAAUCGCUCAUGAUUUUGAUUCUCGUUUCCCUGUAUUCUAGUGAGCUUGAGCAUAUUUUCUUUUUUUUUUUUAGGAAGAUUAGCCCUGAGCUAACAUCUGCUGCCACUCUUUUUUUUUUUUUUUUUUGCUGAGGAAGACUGGCCCUGAGCUAACAUCCAUGCCCAUCUUCCUCUACUUUAUAUGUGGGACACCUGCCACAGCAUGGCUUGCCAAACAGUGCCAUGUCCGCACCCGGGAUCAGAACCAGCGAACCCCGGGCUGCCGAGAACUGGAACGUGCGAACUUAACUGCUGCGCCACCAGGCCGGCCCUAUGAGCAUAUUUUCCUUAAGUUUAUGAUCCAUGUUUCCUCCGAAGGGAAUUACCUAUCUGCUCCUUUACCCAUGUGCUUUUUUGGUUAUUUGCAUUUUGGCAUUGAUUUUUAAACAUUCUUAAUAAAUUCCGGAUACAUAUUAUUUUAGAGAUAGUUGGGCUGAUAAUAUCUUUUCUCAGUCUGGGGCUUAUCUUUUAACUUUGUUUAUGGUGUUGUGGGUGUGUGUUGUUGUUUUACAAAAGUUUUAUUGAAUCUAUGAGUUGUAGCUUUUCUGUCUUUCUGAAGAAAUUCUCUGCCUAGUGUCUUAAAAAUAUUUUCCUCUAAAUGUUUUAUGAUUUUGCCUUUCAAUUGAGCUUAUUAAUCCACUUUGGAAUUAUUUUUGUUUAUGGUGUGAAGUCUCUAAUAUUUUCCGUGUGGAUAACCACGUGUCCUAGCACAGUUUAUUGCCCAACUUUUCCUCACUGAUUGAAAUGCUGCCUCUGUCAUUGAGCCAGUUUCCACUUGUGUGUUGAUCUGUUCCUUGAUUCCUUUCUGUCUUUCCUGUGCUGAGACUAUACCGUCAAUACCAUGGCUUUCACAUCUUGAUAUCUGGUAGGGCAAGUCUCCUCUGCCCACUCCUUACCUGUUUUUCAAAAUAGUUUUUACUGAUUUUGAGCCCUGGCUUUUUCUAUGAGUUUGAGGAUUAAAUUGUCAAGUACCAUUGAAAAAUUAUGUUAGGAUUUUUACUGGAAUUACAUUGAGUUUAUAGAUUAAUUUGGAGGAAGAAAGUUGUCUUCCUAUCCACGGACAUUCUGUAUCUCCACUUAUUCAAGUCUAAUGUCAUUUUGUUUUUGGUGAGGAAGAUUGGCCCUGAGCUGGCGACAUCUGUUGCCAAUCUUCCUCUCUUUUUUUCUUUUUCUCCUCAAAGUCCCCCAGUACAUAGUUGUAUAUCCUAGUUGUAGGUUCUUUUAGUUCUUCUAUGUGGGACGCCGCCUCAGCAUGGCCUGAUGAGUGGUGCUAGGUCCGUGCCCAGGAUCUGAACUGGCGAAACUGGGCUGCCAAAGUGGAGCAUGCGAAUCUAACCACUUAGCCUCGGGGUCAGCCCCUGUAAUGUCCUUUUUAUAAACUAUUAUUUUCUCUGUGAAAGUUCUUACACAUCUUUUUUUACAUUUAUUGCUGCGUAGCUCUCUUUUUAGUUGUUGCUAUGGGGAAUAGGCUUUUUAAAGUUAAGUGUAUAAAUUGAUCAAUGCUGGUCUUUAUAAAUGCUAUUGGUGUCUGUAAAUUGAUUUUGUCUAACAAUCCUACAUAAUUCUCUUGCUGGUUCUAAUUUCUUAUUGAGUCUAUAAGAUUUUCUAUGGAGACAGUGAUAUUGUCUUCAAAUAAGAAAAGGUUUAUCUCUUCAUCUGCAAUUCUGAUACCUCUACUUUUUUAAAUGUUGCAUUGGCAGCUUGAUGUUAACUACAAGUGGCACAACAUCUCUGUCCUGUUUUUGACUACCAUUUACUUUUUUUCCCCACAAGUAACCCUGUUUGAUCCUUAUGCUAUAUGCUCGGCACUUGGGAUAAAAUGAUGAUCAAUUCAUGGUUUCUGUCCUGAAGGAUAUAGUCAGAGAGGCUGAUGACAUUCUGACUACAGUUACCUUUCCGACUUAAAAAAUUCGAUCUGGUUUUUCUGGUUUCCUGUACUUUUUUUCAUUAUAACGAUAUAUUCCUUUUAUUUCAAAGUUAGGAGAAGACUAGUUUUUUGUUUUUGUUUUUUUCCCUUAAACAUGAUCCUACAGCAUAACCCUGCUAAGUGUCCACAGAUGUGACAUCUGGAACAUUGUACCCCAAGCGUGCAAGAGCCCCAGUGUAGGCCCUCCGUUUGCUUGGCACAGGGUUAUACACACGAGAGCACCUAAUGAACCUUUUACAACUGUCAGAGAAAGAACACAAGGGCUUCCUUGCUCAGGCUCUAGUGGUAAGCUCAAGGCGUACGGGAUAGGCCAAAUUCAGGGUAGGAGAGAAAACAAAGGAAAAAAAGUUGCUAAUGGGGUCUGUCUGUCUGGCCAGAGUCUCCUCAGAUCCACUCUAAUACUGGAGACAGUGCGUCAACCCUGAAAUGGAAACUAGAGACUGCAAGGCAGCAACAUACGCACGCAACCAACUUUCUAGUCACGGUUGGUGAGGAAGGAAAAAGUAAUGUUCUGCCUCUCAAAUCAUUGUUUGACUGAUGGCACACAGCAGAAGGGGCAAUAGGUGUAAACGCCACACGAAGCCGAGGGGCUUGUAUUGUCUGGGCUCCUCUCUGCUGGGCUGAUUCCUUCUUCAACUGGCAGAGGACAAAGGGACAGUUUUUUAGGUAUUUCUAUGCCCCCGAAUUUCAUCUUGGGAUGCAGGGAAGGGAGCAGUUCAGAGCCGCUGGUGCGGAGAAACGUGCAGGAGAGUCACGGGGUGGGGCAGCCUUCAGCCUUGGCGCUGGGCGUCCUGACCAUCUGUACCUAGAGAACUGCUGAAGUUGAUCACGGGAGCCAACGUCUUGCCGCUGGAGGAGUCUUAAUGCUGUUUGAAGAUGGCUUUUUGGACUCUGACCAAGUGUGGUCUUUGUUCUUGAGGUUUUCCCCCACAACAUGAGAGCUGUCGGGGAGCGAGCAGCAAAUUUAAAUUCUUCCUUGGUUUUGCAGUGCAAGGGUGGAGAGAACCGUCCCUUUGCAAACAGUCAUAAAAUUAGCAUGAUCACGGUGUGGCUUCUCAAAGCCAGGCCUAGGUUGUGCUCGCCACAGAUCUCUAAGAGUUAGCAUCACCAGGAUGCUAAAUUCUUUGUUUUUGGCAAAGUUUCUUCUGCCUUCAUUUCUCUCUUGCUAGAUGGGCAGGCAGCUAGGGUGAGUGAAGUCAGGAUUUGGCUUGUCUCACUAUCACCUUCUCACCUUCACCAUCAGCUGCUGCUGCUUCUUUUUUUUUUAAC